GGGAUCCAAAGAUGACCCCAGCUCAGUCCCAAGGCCAGUGAGUAACCAGGUGCCAAUACCCAUGAAGCCCAUUGCACAUUGCUUUCUUACCAACCAUGGAAUUCCAGGGUUUGUGAUUGCUUAGGAAAACAAUCUUUUCAAUAUUAAAAGAGAAAUGCCUGAUUGCUCACACCAUAUAGAGGCCCAACUCAGAUGGAAGCUCACCUAUAACGCUCCUGAAAUAAGACAGCCUCUGUUUAUCUAAGUAAUCAUAACAAAAUUCAAUAGUGUAAG